GGCUUUGUGGUGUAGGGGUAAGCACUUGAGAUUCUGAUUCUCAAAACCCAGGUUCGAUUCCUGGCAAGGCCU
rnacentral:tRNA from 1 species